ACGGGGGGACUCCUACGGGAGGCAGCAGUUGGGAAUCUUGGACAAUGGGGGAAACCCUGAUCCAGCCAUGCCGCGUGAGUGAUGAAGGCCUUCGGGUUGUAAAACUCUUUCGACGGGGACGAUAAUGACGGUACCCGUAGAAGAAGCUCCGGCUAACUUCGUGCCAGCAGCCGCGGUAAU
rnacentral:rRNA from 1 species